rnacentral:rRNA from 1 species
CACGCUGUAAACGAUCAAUACUAGGUGUGCGGGGACUGACCCCCUGCGUGCCGGAGUUAACACAAUAAGUAUUGCACCUGGGGAGUACGAUCGCAAGGUUGAAACUCAAAGGAAUUGACGGGGGCCCGCACAAGCGGUGGAGCAUGUGGUUUAAUUCGAAGCAACGCGAAGAACCUUACCAGGUCUUGACAUCCCAGUGACCACUCUAGAGAUAGAGUUUUCCCUUCGGGGACAUUGGUGACAGGUGG